GUUUGAUCCUGGCUCAAAACCAACGCUGGCGGCAUGGCUAAGACGUGCAAGUCGUACGGACGGUUUUCUGCUUGCAUUAAGCGGUUAAUGGCGAAUGGGAGAGUAAUGCAGGGGUAACGUACCCCGGACUCAGGGAUAACAGCGGGAGCAAUCCCUUUAACGAAAGUGCUGCUAAUACCUGACGACGUCUUCAAAUCGCCAGAUUUGACGACCGAAGGUGGGGAUCUUCGGACCUGCCCAUCUGGGAGCGGCCCAUGUUCUAUGACCUUGUUGGUGGGGUAACGGCCCACCAAGGCUACGACGGAUAACGAGCGUGAGGGCUUGGCCCGCCUCAUCGGGACUGAGACACUGCCCGGACACCUACAGGUGGCUGCUUUAACGAAUAUUGGGCAAUGGACGCAAGCCUGACCCACCAAUGCCACGUGCAGGACGAAGCCCCUCGGGGUGUAAACUGCUGUCAGGGUUCGUCAAGCUGCGAGGUUUAAUAGCCCUCCGCGUUGAGCAGACCCAAAGGAAGCCUCGGCUAACUCUGUGCCAGCACCCGCGGUAAGACAGAGGACGCAAGCGUUGUUCGCAAUUAUUGGGCUUAAAGCGUGUGUAGGCGGCUUGACAAGUGUUCUGUGAWMKCCCCCGGCUCAACCGGGKAACUGCAGGGCAAACUGCCUGRCUUGAYGUCGGUAGAGGUGCCUGGAACUCUCGGUGGAGCGGUGAAAUGCGUAKAUAUCGAGAGGGAAUGCCAGUGGCGAWAGCUGGGGCACUGGRCMAGAUUCUGACGCUGAGACCYAGACAWGCGUGSKGAGCAAACAGGAUUAGAUACCGUGGUAGUCACGCYGUWAACGAUGCACWUCUAGGUGGCAGCGUUCUSUGACGUUCGAGYGAGCCGAMGCAAAASUGAUAAGUKUGCCGYCUGKGGAGURCGKYUCGCAWGGHUAAAACUCAAAGGAAUUGACGKGGGCUCACACAAGCGGUGGAGCAUGUGGCUUAAUUUGAAGCAACGAGAAGAACGUUAUCCAGGUUUGACAUGCUAGGAUGCAAUCCCGGGAUAACCGGGAGCGAUUCCGUUCGGGGUGAAACUUGCACAGGUGUUGCACGGCGGUGGUCAGAUCGUGCUGUGAAGUGUUUGGUUAAGUCCCUUCACGAUCGAAACCCCCGUCGUCAGUUGCCAGCGCGUAAUGGCGGGGAAUUCGGCGAGCAUGCCGGCGUUAAGCCGGAGGACGGUGGGGAUGAUUUCACGUCAUUGCGUCCCUUAUGCGUGGGGAUGCACACUCGGUACAAUGGCUGGAACAGAGGGAGGCAAUGCCGCGAGGCGGAGCAAAUCCCAAAAACCCAGCCCCAGUUCGCAUUGUAGUCUGAAAUUGGCCCGCAUGAAGUCGGAAUCUCUUGUAAUCGUGUAUCAGCUACGACGCGGUCAAUGUGUUCCUGAGCCUUGUACACACCGCCCGUCAAGUCACCGAAGCUGGUAGUACCCUAAGUCCGUUCAUCUAACCCUCGGGAAGCGGCGGCCGACGGUAAGACUGGUAACAGGGAUUAAGUCGUAACAAGGUAGCCC
rnacentral:rRNA from 1 species